rnacentral:sRNA from 1 species
AAGGCGAGUGACGCCAACCCAGGUUGGAC